GAUGAACGCUGGCGGCGUGCCUAAUACAUGCAAGUCGAGCGAACAGACGAGGAGCUUGCUCCUCUGACGUUAGCGGCGGACGGGUGAGUAACACGUGGAUAACCUACCUAUAAGACUGGGAUAACUUCGGGAAACCGGAGCUAAUACCGGAUAAUAUAUUGAACCGCAUGGUUCAAUAGUGAAAGACGGUUUUGCUGUCACUUAUAGAUGGAUCCGCGCCGCAUUAGCUAGUUGGUAAGGUAACGGCUUACCAAGGCAACGAUGCGUAGCCGACCUGAGAGGGUGAUCGGCCACACUGGAACUGAGACACGGUCCAGACUCCUACGGGAGGCAGCAGUAGGGAAUCUUGCGCAAUGGGCGAAAGCCUGACGGAGCAACGCCGCGUGAGUGAUGAAGGUCUUCGGAUCGUAAAGCUCUGUUAUUAGGGAAGAACAAAUGUGUAAGUAACUAUGCACGUCUUGACGGUACCUAAUCAGAAAGCCACGGCUAACUACGUG
rnacentral:rRNA from 1 species